rnacentral:lncRNA from 1 species
AGCUGGGAGCCAGGACUCCUGGGUUCUCUCCCCAGCUCUGGGAGGGGAGUGGGGCCAGCAGUUGGAGCGGGGGCUCCCUGUGAGUGCUGGGGGGGCACCGUGGGAUGCGGGGGGAGGUUCCCGGCUCUCAUGCGCGCUCUCUCCGGUUCUAGUGGAGUACCAGGCCCUGUGCCCCCGUGGGAACGGCUACGCCGCGACGGGACCCCUCGCCGCGCUCACAGACAUGGACGAGUGCGCGCUCUUCAGCGCCCAGCUGUGCCGGGGGGGCGUCUGCCUCAACAGCGCCCCCGGCUACGCCUGCUACUGCCCCAACGGCUACUACUACGAGACACAUCACCUGGAGUGCAUCGAUAAUGACGAGUGCCGUGACGAGGAGGCAGAGCCCUGCGUGGGGGGGGCUGCGUGAACACCAUCGGCUCCUUCUACUGCACCUGCUCACCCCCCCUCGUGCUGGACGGGUCCCAGCGCCGCUGCGUGGCCAACGACAGCCAGGCCCUGGGUGAGUGACGCCCCCUCCCGGACCGCCCCACACAUGCUCUAGGCCCCCGCA